UGCAUGUCGUGGAGAGUAUGUUUGUUACCUCCUGCUUCAACAGUGAGGGUGUGACCUGGUCCCCAUCGGUACCGGAUUUUAUGGAGGCGCAAGAGAGCUGUGAAUGGGCUCAUAUGUUUCCUCCACGCCAGUGUCUCUCUCGACAGGUCCGCGUAAAAUGAGAGGGUCAUUCCCUCAAAGGGAUACGUGGGCCGACCUCUGACGGUUUCUAG